GUCUGACUUGUGGUUUAGGCCCGGAACCAGCAGGAACCAACGACUGUAGAGGUCUGACUUGUUGCUUUAGGCCCGGGACCAGUACGAACCGAAGACUGUAGAGGUCUGACUUGUGGUUUAGGCCCGGGACCAUCAGGAACCGAAGACUGUAGAGGUCUGACUUGUGGUUUAGGCCCAGGACCAGCAGGGACUAGCAGGAACUAGUAGGUAAUUCCCUUAUUAUAUCUUGCUACUGAUGUUAGCCUGGUGCUAUCCUCCCUUGGAGAGGUGUUUCCAGCCGGGUGAACCAUGGAUCUGGUGAGAAGAAGUUGUUUCUUGCCCCGAGGUGGCUGGGGUUGAGAGAUUUUGCAGGAAUAGAUGUAAUGUUUCUUCCGCCUAUCACAUUAUCACGUAGUUUAAAACUUCCCCUCCUUCUAGUGCUAAACUGUUAGGGUAUUUUUGUG
rnacentral:lncRNA from 1 species